UGGGGAAUAUUGGACAAUGGGCGAAAGCCUGAUCCAGCCAUGCCGCGUGUGUGAAGAAGGUCUUCGGAUUGUAAAGCACUUUAAGUUGGGAGGAAGGGCAGUAAGCGAAUACCUUGCUGUUUUGACGUUACCGACAGAAUAAGCACCGGCUAACUCUGUGCCAGCAGCCGCGGUAAUACAGAGGGUGCAAGCGUUAAUCGGAAUUACUGGGCGUAAAGCGCGCGUAGGUGGUUCGUUAAGUUGAAUGUGAAAGCCCCGGGCUCAACCCGGGAACUGCAUCCGAAACUGGCGGGCUAGAGUAGGGCAGAGGGUGGUGUAAUUUCCUGUGUAGCGGUGAAAUGCGUAGAUAUAGGAAGGAACACCAGUGGCGAAGGCGACCACCUGGGCUCAUACUGACACUGAGGUGCGAAAGCGUGGGGAGCAAACAGG
rnacentral:rRNA from 1 species